CUCCCUGUGAUACAGCAUUCUGGACUUAACGCAAGCCGGCUCUGGCAAAAACAAGGCUCCAUUUUGAGUGCCUCUGAAUAAGCCGGUGAUCCACCCGUGACAGCCAGCAGGGCGCCGCUUCCGUGGGGCUUUUGCCGAGGGCUAAAUCCCCCGCUGCCUCAGGAGGCGGCGCUGUGUCCCCUCUCUCCUCUUUCACGUGUAAGUCAGGCUUAUUUUUCCCGCGUCUCUGGCCUCCGAGCUGCUGGCCUGAGCUGCGGAUCCGGCAUCAUAUUUAUCAUUUAAUUGGCGGGAGGCAGAAGGACGCAGAAGAGCACAGAAGAGUGCGGCAUCUCACGCGUGGUGAGCCAGCGGGACUGAGAAGGGACGACUGAGGGGGAUCCUUCUUGCCAGAGAGGUGAGGUGACCGUUGGGGGGCCGUCACGCGCAUUAGCGAGCGCUCUGGCUCCGCCGCCGCUGUCUCUGCAAGGAGGAUGUUUGGCC